rnacentral:rRNA from 1 species
GGACGGGUGAGUAAUGCCUAGGAGUCUGCCUGGUAGUGGGGGACAACGUUUCGAAAGGAACGCUAAUACCGCAUACGUCCUACGGGAGAAAGCAGGGGACCUUCGGGCCUUGCGCUAUCAGAUGAGCCUAGGUCGGAUUAGCUAGUUGGUGAGGUAAUGGCUCACCAAGGCGACGAUCCGUAACUGGUCUGAGAGGAUGAUCAGUCACACUGGAACUGAGACACGGUCCAGACUCCUACGGGAGGCAGCAGUGGGGAAUAUUGGACAAUGGGCGAAAGCCUGAUCCAGCCAUGCCGCGUGUGUGAAGAAGGUCUUCGGAUUGUAAAGCACUUUAAGUUGGGAGGAAGGGCAUUAACCUAAUACGUUAGUGUUUUGACGUUACCGACAGAAUAAGCACCGGCUAACUCUGUGCCAGCAGCCGCGGUAAUACAGAGGGUGCAAGCGUUAAUCGGAAUUACUGGGCGUAAAGCGCGCGUAAGGUGGUUCGUUAAGUUGAAUGUGAAAUCCCCGGGCUCAAACCUGGGAACUGGAUCCAAAACUGGCGAGCUAGAGUAUGGUAGAGGGUG